GAUUCCAUCGGACCAGAGAGCACCAACAGCGUUUGAGAGACAGAGACGACCCCGCUGAAGGUCGAAUCAGGGUUGUUCGCGGUGCCAAAGCAAAGGCGCGGCGGACCUCGGAAACAGCGGCAGCAGCGGCCCCGCUUGCCGGUCGCUCAGUGACGGCGUCAGUGACGAUUUCUGGUGGAGGAGAAAUUAGGGCUCUUGAUGGUGCGUUUUCUGAGGGUUCAUUUAAGAGGUGAAGGGGGAGAGAGGAGCAGACAAGGUCGCGCCGACCGAUUUGAGCGGCAAUCUCGCCGGAGGAGGAAGGGCCUAGCGGGGAAUUUCCGAUUUGAACUUUGAGGGCUGAGAGAGAGUGAGAUCUGGUUCGUGUUGUUGAGUGGCGGAAGU
rnacentral:lncRNA from 1 species